CUGUCCCUGUGCCCGUGUGUCCCUGCGUGUCCCUGUGUCUAUUCCCAACAUCGCUGCUCCCUCCUCCUCCCCACCCCCACCGAAGGGAUGACAGGCACCUCGCUCAGAAAUGACAGCUUUGAAAUUGUCCUUGGUGAAGUUGGCAAAUCAGUGGAGCUGCAAAGAUUUCACUGAGCAGCAGCAACAGGAAACUCUCUGAGGCAGGGCUGCACCAAACACUUCUCUGCUCUGUGCUGACAGCACUGCCAUCAAUUCUCUCCUUUCUGCAGAACAAAAUUACCAAUACUCCAGGUUUGCCAAGCUUUAACUGCUUGGAAGAAGUUUCCUGUCCUGGGUGUUGCUUCAGGCUGAUUUUUUAUUCUUUAAACCUCCCCAAGCUUUUUUUUCCUUCUGUUUUAAGUAAAAGGAACAAGGAGAAUUUGGGUUUUAUUUUUUGGAAGGGUAAAAUUUUGGUCAGGGAAAUUUAUAAGCAACUUCAAGUUUCAAAGGCUGAAAACAGCAGCUAAAAAAUAUUUCUUGCUUAAAUUGUCACAAGAAAGAACUUUUUGUUGUCUUUUUUAUGUUGCUUUUCAAGGCAGUGAAAUUGAUAUGUCAUAAAUUAUAGUAAAUACACCAA